GUGAGGAAUAUUGGACAAUGGGCGCAAGCCUGAUCCAGCCAUGCCGCGUGCAGGAAGACGCAUCUAUGGUGUGUAAACUGCUUUUGUACGGGAAGAAACACUCCCUCGUGAGGGAGCUUGACGGUACCGUAAGAAUAAGGAUCGGCUAACUCCGUGCCAGCAGCCGCGGUAAUACGGAGGAUCCAAGCGUUAUCCGGAAUCAUUGGGUUUAAAGGGUCCGUAGGCGGUUUAAUAAGUCAGUGGUGAAAGACCAUCGCUCAACGAUGGAACUGCCAUUGAUACUGUUAGACUUGAAUUACAAGGAAGUAACUAGAAUAUGUAGUGUAGCGGUGAAAUGCUUAGAUAUUACAUGGAAUACCAAUUGCGAAGGCAGGUUACUACUUGUGGAUUGACGCUGAUGGACGAAAGCGUGGGGAGCGAACAGGAUUAGAUACCCCAGUAGUCC
rnacentral:rRNA from 1 species